GCGUCGGUAGUCUAGCCUGGAGGACUUCGUAUGACGCAGAUGAAAUCUGCGUCCAUCGAUUUCGGGCAAUAGGACACAGGCCUUCCAAGCCUGUAACCCGGGUUCAAAGGGCGUUUGAUUCCGAAUUCAUCGGAAUCGGUCUGAAGUUCCCGGCCGACGCA
rnacentral:tRNA from 1 species